GUUUUAUUCACUGCCUUUGCUGAUCCAGUGUUUUUGCAUUAAUCACCCACCUCAGCAACAUUUCAGCAUCCGCUGCUAAUGGGAAUGUAGUGAGAGCCUGUAGGUUCAAAACUAGAGGGAAAAAAUGAAAUUGUCAGCAUUUAUAUGAGACAAAGAAUAAUACAAUUUUACACACCGAGGCAGAAGAAUAGUCUCAAGGAAACAUGGAAAGAUGACCUUUCAGACUCUUCCUAAUGCAGAAACAAGGCAAGAGCUCCACAUGUCCUGUUACCCCAUGUACUGUAUUUACCCAGAGGGAGUUGUGCUGAGGGAAAGGGUCGUGCAAGACUGAGCAAAGGCCUUGAAAGAUACAGUAACUAUCAUCUUUGGAACACCCGGGGGCAGGGGUGCCUUUACAGGAUCUUUGAAUGGGAAAGUCUCAGGAAAAACAGACGAGAAGCCAUAAAGUAAGGUAGAAACAGUGCUUUUUUAUAUGCUGUUUAAAGAAACAAAAACAGUGUGUUUAAAACAAAACAGCUUAGCUCUUAUUUGAGCUCUGAAUAAAUAACGUCUUGUAUUGUUUAUAAAUAAGGCUGUGGACCUAAUGCGCUUGCUAGCUUUACGAUAAAGUCUCUCAAAACUUCUCCAAAGCAUUCUUACAAACACCAAACUCAGUUGGUUUCUUCCCUCUGUGCUUCCUUCUCCCUAUGGUGCAACACAUAACGGUGCUUUUGCAAGCACCCCGC
rnacentral:lncRNA from 1 species